rnacentral:sRNA from 1 species
GCCGCCGGCAGCCCGGACGCACCGGGAGAGCGAGAGGUGGAGGCCGCGGACAUUUUGGUGCCAAGCCGAACCGAGCCGUAGCACCGGGAGCUGUUGGGACCUGCGGCCUGGCUACAGAUAAGGGACCAAAAUGACUGACUCAAAAUAUUUCACCACGACCAAGAAAGGGGAGAUCUUCGAGCUGAAGGCAGAGCUCAACAGUGACAAGAAGGAGAAGAAGAAGGAGGCAGUGAAGAAAGUGAUUGCAUCGAUGACCGUGGGCAAAGAUGUCAGUGCCCUCUUCCCCGAUGUGGUCAACUGCAUGCAGACGGACAACCUGGAGCUGAAGAAGCUGGUAUACCUCUACUUGAUGAAUUACGCCAAGAGUCAGCCUGACAUGGCCAUUAUGGCCGUCAACACCUUUGUGAAGGUGAGCAGACGCUUGGUAGGCGUGGGGACAUUGGGUGCUUAAGGCUCUGUCUCCCCUCAGUCUCUUUGGGGUGGGGCCCUGUGGCGUUGCAUGGAGUCCAGACCUUCAGACUGCGUGCACCCGCCCAGCCUGCAGGCCUCUUCCUCCAGCA